rnacentral:rRNA from 1 species
GGACGAACGCUGGCGGCGUGCUUAGCACAUGCAAGUCGAACGGAAAGGCCCUGCUUUUGUGGGGUGCUCGAGUGGCGAACGGGUGAGUAACACGUGAGUAACCUGCCCUUGACUUUGGGAUAACUUCAGGAAACUGGGGCUAAUACCGGAUAGGAGCUCCUGCUGCAUGGUGGGGGUUGGAAAGUUUCGGCGGUUGGGGAUGGACUCGCGGCUUAUCAGCUUGUUGGUGGGGUAGUGGCUUACCAAGGCUUUGACGGGUAGCCGGCCUGAGAGGGUGACCGGCGACAUUGGGACUGAGAUACGGCCCAGACUCCUACGGGAGGCAGCAGUGGGGAAUAUUGCACAAUGGGCGGAAGCCUGAUGCAGCAACGCCGCGUGCGGGAUGACGGCCUUCGGGUUGUAAACCGCUUUCGCCUGUGACGAAGCGUGAGUGACGGUAAUGGGUAAAGAAGCACCGGCUAACUACGUG